rnacentral:rRNA from 1 species
AGAGUUUGAUCAUGGCUCAGGAUGAACGCUAGCUACAGGCUUAACACAUGCAAGUCGAGGGGAAACGACAUCGAAAGCUUGCUUUCGAUGGGCGUCGACCGGCGCACGGGUGAGUAACGCGUAUCCAACCUGCCCAUCACUUGGGGAUAACCUUGCGAAAGUAAGACUAAUACCCAAUGACGUCUCUAGAAGACAUCUGAAGGAGAUUAAAGAUUUAUCGGUGAUGGAUGGGGAUGCGUCUGAUUAGCUUGUUGGCGGGGUAACGGCCCACCAAGGCGACGAUCAGUAGGGGUUCUGAGAGGAAGGUCCCCCACAUUGGAACUGAGACACGGUCCAA